GAAUAAAGUAAAAGAGCGAGAGAAUGGAAAUGGGAGACAGUGAAAGAAGGAACGAGAGAACAAGAAGAAAAAAUAAAGUAAGAGAGCGAAAUAAUGGAAAUAGAAGGCAGAGACAGAAUAAGAGAGAGUAAGAUAACAAGAGGAAUAAAGUAAGAGAGCGAGUGAGAGAAUGAGAGGAAUAAAGUUAAAAAAUGAGAGAUUGGAAACGAAGGGCAGAAAGAGAGAUAGAGAGAUUGGAAAUGGAAGGCAGAGAGAGAAUGAGAGAGAGGAGAUGAGUGAAAGGGAGGGAGGAGUAUCUGGAGGCUGAUGAUUCUGUCUUACAUCACUGAGCAUCUCUUGGUAAGAACAGAAUCCUUACAGUUCUAACUGGUUUGUAAAGAUUCAAUCAGAACCGAGCCUGCACGACUCCUCAAUGAGUGCACACUAAAGAUCAACAGCAAUCUAGGUUUGGCCAACAUAAAAGCAACCAAUAGCAUUGAGGGACUGCUGCACAUUGCCUAAAGACACAGCUGAUUCACCUUCACAGCACAACAAAAAUACCUUCGCAACCUGAAACAUGGAGAGCACAGAGAGUAAAGCAUCCACCAUUUCUCCACAGAAACAGACGGUAAAAAACAGAUCCAAGUCCACGGAUGAAGUACAGCAAGCCAAAAAGGCCUUUCACACACCACAGAAAUCUCUCCCAGCCAAAUCCGAAACUGAAAAGCUGGAGGAGGCCGCAGAACUGAACGCCUCAUCAGAGGAGUUCAAAUGAUUGCUGGAUAGAAACUUUGGGGCUUUGAGACUUAAAUCAGCAGGAAUUAUGGGUAAUAAUGAGAGGGGGAUUCAGUCUGUCUGUUUAUACCAUUAUGACUCAGUUUUACAAGUGUAGCUGGCAUAAUCACAAGUCGUUUGGAAAACAGCCAACAGCAAUCAUGUGUAGCUUCUUAAUUUGUAUGAGUGUGAUAAUGUAUUAAUAAAUAAAGAAAUGCAGAACUGGAUCACGGUGCACUAUGUCUGUAAUGCAAAUGUAAUUCAGUGUAAAGCGGCUUGUGAUAAUGAAAUAGACAAAACCUUACAUAUAUUAGUAGUAUUUGUACUGUAAGUUAUUUGUGAAGCUGACUGUGAAAUCCAUGCUAAAUUCUCAUUAUGUUAUUUAGAUUAUUUACAUUUAUUUCAGUCUUUGACAUUUAACCAAUCUUUGUCGUUUAAAAAAAUUUCAAUGCAGUUAAAAUAAACUUUCAUUUGCUUUAUAUUAAUUCUAUGUACUAACAUUAACAAAUAUUAAUAAAUGCGGAAAACGAUAUUGCUUGUGAGUUCAUAUUGGCUAAUGCAUUUACUAAUGUUUACAAAUAAAGUGUUAAUGUUUUUAGUUUUUUAAGCAUAACAUUUGUUUGAAUUAUGCCAGAUUUUAUACCAAAACAAAAAACAUUUUUAAAUAGAGUAAGAGGAAAUUAUGU